GUUUCCUUUAGCUUUUGACAAGCAUUUUAUAUUUGUGUCUUUAGGCAGCUUCGAAAAGCAGUAAAAUCCUUUGGUUUUAUUAUAAACGAAAUUACGUUUUGUAAUCACGGUUUCUAAAUCUAGGAACCGCUGCAACUCAACCAUGACGGUCCCGGGGUCACGUGAUAAAACUUCCCCGUCCAAAAUAAAAAUAUUUUCAAGACGAAAAUAUUUCAACCAUCGUUGUAAAUGGUGGGCGUAUAAACCGACUUUAAAUAUCUCUGGAAGCGUGGACACUGCAGUCAUAUUAUUGGAGUUUAUGGGCUUGUUGUGUUUGAUAAGAUGAGACGAAACGAAGUUCGGGAAAUCGUUGAAGCUUUGCACCUGUAGAACGUAAAGUGAAUGGCAUGAGGGACCUGUAUUAUGAUGUUGUUUGAUUAGGAGACUCAUUCAUUGCUGGUUUUAUAAGGGCGAGGCUCUGUACCGUGGCGCUCCAGGAGAUCUGGUGCUUAGGCCCCAGUUGGCUUGGCGGAUGGUGACGUCUUUUAUUUAGUUUGAUUGACAGCUAUACAUAGAGGUUACAACUGACAGUUGCCACACCAGAUGCCACUUAAACCGAACACCCCCCGUACCUGUGGCAACCUCUGCUGCUUGUUCCUCCCCAUAUAGUUGCCGUAUUCCUUCAUUGCUUGUUUUAACUGUAUUUGUGCAAUAUGAUGGUGCUCUUCCUUCUGCAAAGAAUAAACCACAUCAGUGGGUGUGAAAAUCAACAACAAAUGAAGAACUAUAGUGACCACUGUGAGCGACUGGACAAAUAUGCCCACAAUGGUAGCAGCAACGAGCCCUGAACUUGUAACCUGUGGGCUGGAGGCAGGCGUGUUAACCACAGUGCUACUACACCAAAAAUGUUUUUUUCUGUGGUGUUUUGGUUAAGUCGAAAUAAUAAAAAUUUGUGAUAUCAUUUAAAUUGUAUGCUGGUGUAAAUUUUAAGGGUGAUUAUGGGGGGUAUUACAGUGGGCAGUUGGAUGUAACUUAUACACCUCAUGCUCACUGUUUUGAAUACUUAUGCUAAUAUUGAGAAACUCCCCAAUUGAAAUACACAAAGUUUAAAAGUGAGUAAUCGUCCACUACCGGCGCUAUUAAGCAAGCAGUUUACCCUCUUUCAUUUUACAUUUGGUAUUAGAGCGAGUGUCAGAAUAUAAAGUGUAGUUUAGAAUAAAUUGUAAUUGGCUCGUUAGCUCCUUCUAGCGGUAGGAAAUUCUCGUAAUAAAUGUAAUCUGCUGCGUUUAAAAUACCUCGGGUGAGCUUCGAAACGUAGUACCCUCUAAACGUUGUGUCACCAACAAUUGAUUGACAGGUGCAGAUCAACCACUGAAGCUCCGCCUUCCUACGUCAUCAGCUUUGAUUGACAGUUGCAACUUGGCAGCUUGGACGAAGGUGGUUGUACAACAUCGUGGGAGUUCUGCUAUUGCAUAAGUUAAGUAUUAUGUAGCUUGCUUUAUAACUGUAUAUAUAUAUAUAAGUAAACUAUAUACCGGUAUUAUAACUAUACAUUACCCGUAUUUAUAUUCACAUAUAUAUAUUACUAUCACACAUGUAAUGUGCCUUGCGUAUAUUAUCAUUAUCUUUUAUUCUAUACACAGGUGUCCGCCAUAUAUUUAUUAUGUCACUCGCGUUGUGAUGUCACUUUGCGGCAUCGCGCUCGCUGGAUAACCUUAUUACGUCACAAUGCCAAUUAGUUUCGUUAUAUGUUUAUUAC